GACGUAGGGCGCGAGCGUUGUCCGGAUUUAUUGGGCGUAAAGAGCUCGUAGGCGGCUUGUCGCGUCUGCCGUGAAAGCCCGGGGCUUAACCCCGGGUCUGCAUUCGAUACGGGCAGACUAGAGUGUGGUAGGGGAGAUCGGAAUUCCUGGUGUAGCGGUGAAAUGCGCAGAUAUCAGGAGGAACACCGGUGGCGAAGGCGGAUCUCUGGGCCAUUACUGACGCUGAGGAGCGAAAGCGUGGGGAGCGAACAGG
rnacentral:rRNA from 1 species